ensembl:misc_RNA Metazoa_SRP Metazoan signal recognition particle RNA
GCCGGGCGUGGUGGCGGGCGCCUGUAGUCCCAGCUACUCGGGAGGCUGAGGCAGGAGAAUCGCGUGAACCCAGGAGGUGGAGCUUGCAGUGAGCCGAGAUUGUGCCACUGCACUCCAGCCUGGGUGACAGAGUGAGACUCUGUCUCAA